rnacentral:rRNA from 1 species
AACGAACGCUGGCGGCAGGCUUAACACAUGCAAGUCGAGCGCCCCGCAAGGGGAGCGGCAGACGGGUGAGUAACACGUGGGAAUCUACCCAUCCCUAGGGGAUAACACAGAGAAAUUUGUGCUAAUACCCUAUACGUCCUUCGGGAGAAAGAUUUAUCGGGGAUGGAUGGGCCCGCGUCGGAUUAGCUAGUUGGUGGGGUAAUGGCCUUCCAAGGCGACGAUCCGUAGCUGGUCUGAGAGGAUGACCAGCCACACUGGGACUGAGACACGGCCCAGACUCCUACGGGAGGCAGCAGUGGGGAAUAUUGGACAAUGGGCGCAAGCCUGAUCCAGCCAUGCCGCGUGAGUGAUGACGGCCUUAGGGUUGUAAAGCUCUUUCACCCACGACGAUAAUGACGGUAGUGGGAGAAGAAGCCCCGGCUAACUUCGUGCCAGCCGCCGCGGUAACAC